CAGAUUGAACGCUGGCGGAAUGCUUACACAUGCAAGUCGAACGGUAGAGGGGGCAACCCUUGAGAGUGGCGAACGGGUGAGUAAUAUAUCGGAACGUGCCCAGUCGUGGGGAUAACGUAGCGAAAGUUACGCUAAUACCGCAUACGAUCUAAGGAUGAAAGCGGGGGACUCGCAAGAGCCUCGCGCGAUUGGAGCGGCCGAUAUCAGAUUAGGUAGUUGGUGGGGUAAAGGCUCACCAAGCCAACGAUCUGUAGCUGGUCUGAGAGGACGACCAGCCACACUGGAACUGAGACACGGUCCAGACUCCUACGGGAGGCAGCAGUGGGGAAUUUUGGACAAUGGACGCAAGUCUGAUCCAGCCAUUCCGCGUGCAGGAUGAAGGCCCUCGGGUUGUAAACUGCUUUUGUACGGAACGAAAAGGUUUCUAUUAAUACUAGGAGCUCAUGACGGUACCGUAAGAAUAAGCACCGGCUAACUACGUG
rnacentral:rRNA from 1 species